rnacentral:rRNA from 1 species
AACGCGAAGAACCUUACCUGGGUUUGACAUCCUCUGACAUCCGUAGAGAUACGGCUUCUUACGCAAGUAAGCAGAGAGACAGGUGCUGCAUGGCUGUCGUCAGCUCGUGUGGUGACAUGUUGGGUUAAGUCCCGCAACGAGCGCAACCCUUGUCCUUAGUUGCCAGCAUUCAGUUGGGCUCUCUAAGGAGACUGCCGUGGUGAACACGGAGGAAGGUGGGGAUGACGUCAAGUCCUCAUGGCCUUUAUAUCCAGGGCGACACACGUGAUACAAUGGAUGGUACAGAGGGAAGCCAAAGCGCAAGCUGGAGCCAAUCUCAAAAAGCCAUUCUCAGUUCGGAUUGGAGUCUGCAAUUCGACUCCAUGAAGUUGGAAUCGCUAGUAAUCGCGGAUCAGCACGCCGCGGUGAAUACGUUCCCGGGCCUUGUACACACCGACGCGUA